GGGACUGCACAGGUGGGCUUCUCAGGCGGGGACUGCACAGGUGGGGACUGCACAGGUGGGCUUCUCAGGCGGGGACUCCCCACGUUGGGGGCUGGUCCUCUGCAGAGGCCCCGUGUGGCCCCAUGUGGCCCUGUAUGGCCUCAGAGCUGCAUCCUUGCCACUGGUGUGUCCGGUGCUGGUCUCUGCUCUGACUGCCAGCUGUGCCUCCUCAGGACUCUGCGCGUCCUCUCCUGGUGCCCGAGUCUGGAGCAGGAGUGGACCCCGGGACCCGCACUGGGCUCUUGCGUCCAGCCAGAGGAAUGUCAGUCGCUUGACCUGGUAGAAAGUAGGUGGCUGUGGAGUCAAGUGGUGGUACAUCAGGCUGAGCGCUCACAUCACAGUGCACAAGGACCUGGGUUCAAGCCCCUGGUCCCCACCUGCACAGGGAAAGCUUCACAAGCCGUGAAGCAGGGCUGCAGCGGUUAGAGGAGGUGGACGUGGAAGGCAGAGAGGAGCUGGCAGGAGAGGAGUCUCAGGCAGACUUGUGUCCUCAUAGCUCGGUGACACCAGAGCAGCAACCACCUACUUUCUUGUCUCUUAUUGUUAUUUAUUUAUUAUUGGGUAGAGGCAGAGAACUUGAGAGGGGCAGGGGAGAUAGGGAGGGAGAGAGAGAGUGUCACCUCCCCUUCUGUCCCCAGGUGGGGUGGUAUCCUAAGGGGGCCACGGAUGCCGCAGUUUGGGGGAGAAACCACGUAGAGAAGGAAACACCCGCCACAGGCUGUGGCUUGGAGUGGCCGCGGCACCUUGUCCUCAGCGCAGAGGUCCGGCCUCCCCUCCUGGGGGUCCUGGGGGGGUGGGCUGGGCUUGCAUACACCCCCCCCAAAGCCUGAGGCAAACAGACACUAGUCAGCUGGCUCUGAGCUGAGGGCCUGAGGCUGUGUUUCUUUCUUAAAAGAUUUAUUUGUUAGGGGCUGGACGGUGCCAGGUCUGGCUGAGCACACACAUUACAGUGUGCAAGGACCUGGGUUCAAGGCCCAACACUCCACCUGCUGUGGGGAAGCUUCAUGGGCAGUGGGGUAGGGCUGCAGGACCCUCUCUCUCCCCCUCUCCCUCUCUCUCUCUCUCCCCCUCUCCCUCCCUCU